UGAGGGAUAUUGCACAAUGGGGGAAACCCUGAUGCAGCAACGCCGCGUGAAGGAUGACGGUUUUCGGAUUGUAAACUUCUGUUCGGGAUGAAGAUAAUGACAUUAGUCCCGGAGCAAGCCACGGCUAACUACGUGCCAGCAGCCGCGGUAAUACGUAGGUGGCAAGCGUUGUCCGGAUUUACUGGGUGUAAAGGGAGCGCAGGCGGGAGAGCAAGUCAGCGGUGAAAUACAUGGGCUUAACCCAUGGGCUGCCGUUGAAACUGUCCUUCUUGAGUGAAGUAGAGGCAAGCGGAAUUCCUAGUGUAGCGGUGAAAUGCGUAGAUAUUAGGAGGAACACCAGUGGCGAAGGCGGCUUUCUGGACUGUAACUGACACUGAGGCUCGAAAGCGUGGGGAGCGAACAGGAUUAGAUACCCUGGUAGU
rnacentral:rRNA from 1 species